CCUACGGGAGGCAGCAGUGGGGGAUAUUGCACAAUGGGGGGAACCCUGAUGCAGCGACGCCGCGUGGGUGAAGAAGCGCCUCGGCGCGUAAAGCCCUGUCAGCAGGGAAGAAAAUGACGGUAACUGACGAAGAAGCCCCGGCUAACUACGUGCCAGCAGCCGCGGUAAUACGUAGGGGGCAAGCGUUAUCCGGAUUUACUGGGUGUAAAGGGGGCGCAGACGGCGAUGCAAGCCAGGAGUGAAAGCCCGGGGCCCAACCCCGGGACUGCUCAUGGAACUGCGUGGCUGGAGUGCAGGAGGGGCAGGUGGAAUUCCUGGUGUAGCGGUGAAAUGCGUAGAUAUCAGGAGGAACACCGGUGGCGAAGGCGGCCUGCUGGACUGCAACUGACGUUGAGGCCCGAAAGCGUGGGGAGCAAACAGGAUUAGAUACCCUGGUAGUC
rnacentral:rRNA from 1 species